rnacentral:ncRNA from 14 species
CCAACGGCCCUCUUUAGGGCCACACAAACAUUUGAUUUUCUUUUUGU